rnacentral:rRNA from 1 species
GACGAACGCUGGCGGCGUGCCUAAUACAUGCAAGUCGAGCGGACUGAAUGGGAGCUUGCUCUUGUUCGGUCAGCGGCGGACGGGUGAGUAACACGUGGGCAACCUGCCCGCAAGACCGGGAUAACUCCGGGAAACCGGAGCUAAUACCGGAUAACACCGAAGACCGCAUGGUCUUUGGUUGAAAGGCGGCGCAAGCUGCCACUUGCGGAUGGGCCCGCGGCGCAUUAGCUAGUUGGUGAGGUAACGGCUCACCAAGGCGACGAUGCGUAGCCGGCCUGAGAGGGGGGCCGGCCACACUGGGACUGAGACACGGCCCAGACUCCUACGGGAGGCAGCAGUAGGGAAUCUUCCGCAAUGGGCGAAAGCCUGACGGAGCGACGCCGCGUGAGCGAAGAAGGCCUUCGGGUCGUAAAGCUCUGUUGUGAGGGACGAAGGAGCGCCGUUUGAAGAAGGCGGCGCGGUGACGGUACCUCACGAGGAAGCCCCGGCUAACUACGUG